rnacentral:sRNA from 1 species
GCGGGAGAUAUUGACGGCCUGGUGGCCG